AGGUGCAAAGUUCAUAAAUUCAAGUGAAAACAUGGCUGAGGCAAUGCCUUUAAAUAUGACUGAAGAUGAAGCAAUCACAUGCCCCAUGUGUUUUGAGGACUUCAGCAAUCUCAUCCCUAAGAUUCUACAAUGUGGACAUACAUUCUGCCAUCACUGUUUGGAAAGGUACCAACAGACUGCCCCCUCAUUUCGUAUUAUUAAAUGCCCCACUUGUCGAAUAAACACUGAACUAAGAGAUGGAGUGGUUGAAAACUUGCCAACCAACUUUUUAGUUAAAGAAAUAGCCUAUGCUAAAAAGUUUACAGUCACAAAACCUAAGUCAACAAUUUCUCAUGUCCCAAAAAAGGAUGACUCGAUCGCCAUAGUCGAAUUAAAAAUCACCUUAACCCUUGAAAGAACAAAACAAGAAGUGCUUAAAUUCAAACAGUAUUUAAACUCAUACAUACACACGAUUGCGCUAUUAAUGGUGGCCAGGUUUAACAAGAUUCGAACUGCAAGUCUGGUUGAAGAGACCAGUUAUACGAACAUUAAAAAAAGUUUGAUUGAUGCAAGACAACAUAUACAGACUCUCACAAAUAACAUAUUGGAUUACUCGAGACUUGAUAACCUAGCAAGCCCUGAACAUAUCAUGAACAAAUACAACACUACACGAGAACUGCUGACUAAACUAGAAGAACUGAAACCACCAGCAACAUUUAUGGGAAAAGCAAAAAUCGUUUUUACAAAUAUCUUCAGUAAUAUUUUCACUAGCAGAGAAGGGCGAAGCUACAUAGGAAGCACAGAUAAAUUCGAGAGACUCCGAGAAACACUGACUCAGAUAUUACAAAUUUUUGAAUUCACAAAAUCGUCAUCAGUUAAGCUCACUGAACUUGAAAAUGACAUUGAUGAUGCAAUAGAAAUCAUGAACCUUACAACUCAAGGGCAAGCAAAAAAUCUUAUGAUGGAGUGGAGUAUCAUUUCAGAGUCAAUGCAGUCUAGACAGGUAGCAUUGGCAAAGGAAUUUGAUGAGUUUGAGAUAAAUCACAAACAUAUUGUUGAGAAGUUAUCUGAUAUUGAUAACUAGAGGCUAAUUAAUAUAUAUUCAUCUAAAGUACAUAAUACAUGUAAUUCUGAUUUGGUGCUAAUGUUGGGGAACCAAACAUAUAUAAACAUUUAAAGUUGUGUCAAGUAUCCCUAAAAUAGUUUUCCUUAUGCUGUUAGAUUCUACAGUAUUGUAUUGUAUUGUAUUGUAUUUUAUUGUAUUGUAUUGUAUUGUAAGUUUCAGUUCAGUACAUUGUAAAAUAUUAACUCACCCUUGAGCUUUUACAAUGAGUUGAUGUGAAUAUUACAAUAAGAGAUUUCUCCACAGUAUGCUAUAGACUGUACAUGGCAGAGUUCUUGUAUAUACCAUACAAUAAUAUUCACAUACCUUUAAUGGGGUUGCCACCAUCAUCAUUGGGUUCUUUCCAGUUGAGUGUCACAGAGCUUCUAUUGUAUUUGCCAAUUUCUAAAUUACGAGGAGCACCUGGAGGAUCUGAAAUAAGAAAAGAAAUCAAUAAAAAAUUUUGAUUGUCAGGAGGGUUUGAAGUACAUGCUAUAUUGUGCCAUCCCUUGUAAUAACAAAAAAUAUUUUUUUUACCAAUUAAAUACUUAAUUGGCCAGAUUGUUUACAUGAACAUCAUGUUGUGCAAAUAUAAAUGAUGUGCAUAUAUAAAUGGCAGGUAUACAUGUAAAUGGGAUCUAUGAACAGUCAGAUCUUAAAGGUAUAAUACUAAGUACUGGAGAGUUUCAGUAUAUGAUAUUU
rnacentral:misc_RNA from 1 species